rnacentral:tRNA from 1 species
CGGGGUGUAGCAUAGCUUGGUUAGUGCGCUCGGUUAGGGACCGAGAGAUCAUGAGUUCAAAUCUCAUCACUCCGA